rnacentral:rRNA from 1 species
AUACGGAGGGUGCAAGCGUUACUCGGAAUCACAGGGCGUAAAGCGCGCGCAGGCGGGCUGAUAAGUUGGAUGUGAAAGCCUACGGCCCAACCGUAGAACUGCAUCCAAAACUGUCAGUCUAGAGUCUGGGAGGGGAAGAUGGAAUUAGUUGUGUAGGGGUAAAAUCCGUAGAGAUAACUAGGAAUACCAAAAGCGAAGGCGAUCUUCUGGAACAGUACUGACGCUGAGGCGCGAAAGCGUGGGGAGCAAACAGGAUUAGAAACCCUAGUAGUCC